rnacentral:rRNA from 1 species
GUGACCGAGCGACGCCGCGUGUGGGAUGAAGGCCUUCGGGUUGUAAACCACUGUCAGUGGGGAAGAAUACCUGGAUGGUGAGUCCAGGGGUGACGGUACCCGCAGAGGAGGCCCCGGCUAACUCCGUGCCAGCAGCCGCGGUAAUACGGAGGGGGCGAGCGUUGUUCGGAAUUACUGGGCGUAAAGGGCGCGUAGGCGGAAUGGUCCGUCCGAUGUGAAAGUGCUACCGCUUAACGGAGCAAAGUCAUCGGAAACCGCCAUUCUUGAGACCGGAAGAGGUGAGUGGAAUUGCCAGUGUAGCGGUGGAAUGUGUAGAUAUUGGCAAGAACACCGGUGGCGAAGGCGGCUCACUGGUCCGGUUCUGACGCUGAGUGCGCGAAAGCGUGGGAAGCGAACAGGAUUAGAUACCCUGGUAGUCCACGCCCUAAACGGU